GUGGACAGCUGCAAUAGCUGUCUCAGAAAACAAAACUAAAGAUAGCCCUUUUCUCCCUGGACAGGUGAUACCCAGGAUCUGCUCAGCUGAGAAGAACUUUGGAAAGGCAGUCCUGUGGUUCCCUAUGUCUACAAAGAAGACUGAGACAUCUCCAAAGGACAGCUUAUCCCUUUUUAAGACCAGUGACUAAGACUGCUGGGAAGAAUUACCCACUGGAGAGCCAGAGAUAUCUUCUGUGGUGUGUCUGGAGAGAGUGCACUGAAUACCGAACACCAGGAUCAUUGGUGAAGAGGUAGACUGUACUGAGGAAAGUGUGUUAGUAGGUGACAGAAUGUAUGUCACACAGUAUCUAAGAAAGCCUCUGUCUAGAAGACUACAACCUAAUAAAGAGUGUCUGGAAGCAAUACAUCCUUCCUUUGUGGGGCUGAUGUCCAAGUCCUGAACUGUCCGUGGACUCUGUGUCAGUGAUUGUAUACUGUCAUUUGGGAUGAAGGGAGCAUGCUGGGAGCUAGAGCAAUUUAAGAAGAUCUAGUAGCCCUUCAGCUGAUAAUCAGCCCCUAAAACUGUCAACAAAUGGAGUCAAAGAGGAAUUUUAAUUAAACAUCAUUAAAAACUCAAAGCUAAAAAAAAAAAAAAGAUUUAUAACAUCGAAAAUUCAUAGUGGCACCAUUUUAAAUUGAUAUGAAUGAUCAGAUACAUCCUUCUCAACAGUUGCAAGUAGAUACUAGAAAGCCAUUCUCUUCCAUAUGUGUGAACAUUAGGAAAAGAUUGAUUGCAACAGGGUCAAAGUCAGGAACAACUGGAACAGUAUCAGUGUCCUAGGCCUCGGUGAGGUGCUUUUCCAUGGCAGCACUGCUUUCUAAGAUCUAUGUCCCACAUGACGUAAUCGUUAGCCUCCACACCCUUCUAAAAAGAAUGUAAGAUUGUAGGUCUGCAUAAGAAUAAUUCACAUUUUUCAAGUUGUAUGGCUAGCAAGCAAAAGCCAGAUAUAACAAUUUGUUUGCAGUGUGGUCUUUGAGUUUAUGAACUAUAUAUGGGGAGAUUUGAAAGAAUAAUUUCUAUAGCUGUAUCAGAUAGCAAAGGCCACUUACAACGGCAAAUUAGUAUUUAUUCACUUAGAAUUAAUCUAUUGCCAAGUUCAUUAUAUGCAUUUUAUUUAAUGUUGGCUGCAUAUAUGUAUGUUAAUUCUGACUUUUGCACAAGUAUAUUUUCUCAUGAAUUAGAAGAUUUUUUUUUUUUUUAAGAAAUUACCCAGAUUCCUGUUCCACUCACAGAAUUUUUGGUUGCAUGUUAGAAAGACAUACAGAUGUUUCAAUGUAAUAAAAAGAGGGAGAGAUAACUUUUAGUC